ACUGCUCAGUAACACGUGGAUAACCUGCCCUUGGGUCUGGGAUAACCCCGGGAAACUGGGGAUAAUACCGGAUAACGCAUAUGUGCUGGAAUGCUUUAUGCGUAAAAUGGAUUCGUCCGCCCAAGGAUGGGUCUGCGGUCUAUCAGGUAGUAGUGGGUGUAAUGUACCUACUAGCCAACAACGGGUACGGGUUGUGAGAGCAAGAGCCCGGAGAUGGAUUCUGAGACAUGAAUCCAGGCCCUACGGGGCGCAGCAGGCGCGAAAACUUUACAAUGCGGGAAACCGUGAUAAGGGAACACCGAGUGCCAGCAUCAUAUGCUGGCUGUCCAGAUGUGUAAACUACAUCUGUUAGCAAGGGCCGGGCAAGACCGGUGCCAGCCGCCGCGGUAACACCGGCGGCCCGAGUGGUGACCGUUAUUAUUGGGUCUAAAGGGUCCGUAGCCGGUUUGGUCAGUCCUCCGGGAAAUCUGAUAGCUUAACUGUUAGGCUUUCGGGGGAUACUGCCAGGCUUGGAACCGGGAGAGGUAAGAGGUACUACAGGGGUAGGAGUGAAAUCUUGUAAUCCCUGUGAGACCACCUGUGGCGAAGGCGUCUUACCAGAACGGGUUCGACGGUGAGGGACGAAAGCUGGGGGCACGAACCGGAUUAGAUACCCGGGUAGUCCCAGCCGUAAACUAUGCUCGCUAGGUGUCAGGCAUGGCGCGACCGUGUCUGGUGCCGCAGGGAAGCCGUGAAGCGAGCCACCUGGGAAGUACGGCCGCAAGGCUGAAACUUAAAGGAAUUGGCGGGGGAGCAC
rnacentral:rRNA from 1 species